UUUAUGCAUACUGUUAUCUUGCAACAGUUUUUCAAAAAUAAAUCAAUUGUGAAAAAGCGAGUGUAAAUUUCUGAAAAUAAUGUGACCUUAUUGUAAGCGUCGUCGUCGUCAGCGGUGGUUCGUUGGUCCCAGCCGUUGUCGGAUUAUGGCGAAAUUAGACGGCCGUUCGAUUCCCUAACAUUUUUAAAUCCCGUCCAGCGACGGAUACCCGUGGAAAUUUACAACUUCCACAAAAUUCUGGAGGGAGGAUUUAUUAAACACCGACCAUCGUUUUCAGUGAUUGUUCCACUACAUGACGAAGAGGAAAAUUAAUGCGGACCUAUUAUUGCUAUUUUGAUUUUAAUUUUCUUAGUAAUAGUAGUCGUUAUUAUGUACUGUGUAGCGUUCGUUUGCAAAAUGGCACUGAAGUAUAUAAACUAAAGAUCACCAGACAGUACUUGCACACACAUGUGAAUUGUUUUUAUGGAAAUGUGUAAACUAACAUUAAAGGUCCAUUCCACCACGACCUCAUGGGAUAAUUUCUUCGCUUCGCAACACUAAACCGUUGGUUUUAAGUGCAAUAACCAUCGCGGCCUUAAAUUAUGUCUUUAAUGAUGUGUGUAAACGUUGGACAAGCGAGUUUAUAAAUUAUCAAAGUCCGGAUUGCUCGUCGAUAGCAAUUCACAAUAAAUACAUUAAUUUGCAGACGAACACGUCGGGAGGUCUAUCAAAUCAAGUGUUAUUUACGGAAAAAAACAUUACUACCUGGUUUCCCACAAAUCGCAAUACAUUUUAGCAAAGAAUUCAUUACAUAUCAUCUUAUCGGUGAAAAUUCGGUCACUUUCUCAAAAGACAACACUGCAGAGAAAAGACGCGAAUGCAUGAUGAGCCAAACAUGUUGCGAUUCAGUCUUGCAGAAGACAAAAACAAGAAGUGGCGUAUACAACUUGUAAAGUGACGUCAGAUGCCUAGGUGUGGGAACCGUAAGGCGACAUUGCAGCGUCUAUUGACGAUCCAGCUCUGAUAGAUAUGUAUUUGGAUGCUUCGCUACAACCUCUGUGAAAUGUGCAUAGUGACGGUAUUUAACUCAGUCUGUUACAUACGAACUGGACUCCAUUAAUGAUAGCAGUUUCGGCAGGUCGCAUGCAGAUAGUAUCGAGCUUGAUUUUACACGGAGCCUAAAUGAAUGCAGUGAAUCAAACAGGACAGUGCGGUCUUCACUAUGCAGCAUCAAAGGACAGAUAUGAGCUAGCUGAAAAGCUAUUACAAAACGGUGCAGACAUUGAUGUAGGUGACCAGUUCAACAGCACACCUCUUCAUCGCAAGGCCAUUUAAAAUGGUCAAGCUCCUGCUUCAACAUCAGCCUGAUGUAAAUGUCAAAGACUUUAGCGGACACACUCCCUUGUACAUAUCAUGAUUUGUAGAGGGGCUGUACACAUUUGUAGGAAAAUUAUAUACAAUGACAUCUUUUGAUUAAAAAAAACGAUUUCAUUAUGUUCAGGAAAUUGUCUGAAUUCUCAUAUGUAUAUUUGCUUUUUUGGAUGAAAUGAUGUUUGUCUCAAGAUUGAAUAUAAUGACAAAUUACCGACAACAUUCUUGGAAGUCGACCCGCCUAGCAAGACCCGCCUAGUGGGUAAGAAAAGAGACCUUUUACUAUAUCUAGAAAACAGACUUUAACCUUUAACAGACUUUAGUCUUUAACCUAUUUUCUUCUGGAUACUGAUGAUAUCAAAAACACAUUGAACAUAUAUAAGCCUCGUUUAGGGAAAACUGGUCUAAAUUCAUGUGCGUCAAGUGUCAUCCCAAACCCUGUGCAGACUGGGACGACAAGGACGACACUUUCCAUCUAGACUGGGUUUUCGUUUAGAAGAGACUUUCUUUAAACGAAAAAUUCCGUAAACGCGGAAUGUGUCGUCCCUGAUUAGUCUGUGCCGACUGAACAGGCUAAUCUGGGACAACACUUUUAGCACAUGCAUUUAGCCCAGUUUUCCCAGAACGAGGCUCAUAUGAGUUUUCAGGUUAGGUCACAGUGACACAAAUGUCUUUUUUGUGAGGUAUUUGUAUUAAAUAUGAUAUGUGACCUGUUUUCCAUAUCGCAGACACCUGGCUUGUGAGAAAGAGAGGUCUGAAGUCAGUCGGCUACUGAUUGCACAUUGGACCUAUGCGACAAUAUUAAACAAGUUAUACAAGAUCUUCAUUGUAGACUUAACUGUAUUCUUUUCACUCACCCGAGUUUAUAACGAUGAGCUUUUGAUGUCAGCAGUUGAUCUUGUAGAUGGCCGUCAUCAUAAAUAACCUUAUAAUCUCAUCUGAAACUAUUUGGUAUAAAAUAACAAAACUUUGUUUGAAUGUUCCUUGUUUAUCUACCAAAAUACGUCUGUUGAUUUUGAAUUUCCUGAUGAGGUCAUCUACCACAACACUUUGAAAAAACAAGGCAAACAUGCAGUCUGUUGUUUUUUUGUAUUGAUUCCACAUUAAACUCUAUUUAGUCACUCAGUGUCAUAUUUAUAUGUUUGUUUUAAAACUUCCGGAAACAUGCCUUGACUAAAAUAAUGAAUAAACACUCUUAAACAAAAUGCAAAAUCUGACUUUGUAUUAAUUUAGUGCUUUUUAAAUUGUUGACCAAGAUUGAUAUUCGUUGUGGUACAUGAUCUGAAGCAUUUAUAAAUGAACAUGCCUUCCGUUCUUAACCUUAGUGCACACUUUUUAUUUGGUAUAAGAUCUGUAUUAAAAACAACAAAAAACAACAAUUUAUUGGAUAAAGGGGGAAGGGUAACUCCAAAUGUGAUUCCAAUUGUCAAACAUAAUCCAUUUGAUAAAAUAAUAAAAUUACCAUCCGAUACAU